AGAAGUAACCUCCAGACCACUUGGCUGCCUUGUAGCAUUGCAGGCCCACAGCCUCGGCCUAGCAGGUGGUGUCCACAGACAGCUGGUUGAAAGAUGCGCAACGAAUGAAAGCCAAGAGCAGACUUGCGGGUAACAGAGAAGAUCACUAUUCUGGAAAAUAAGGCUUUGAAAAACAGUGAAAAUGAUGAAGCUGAAGAAGACCCCAGUGGCUUUUUCCGUGGACGAAACACUGAUUUCUGCACACAGUCUGUCGUCUCAGCUGCUUUACAGAAGUGACAUAAGUGACUCAUUCUCAUAAAGCAUUCCAAGUCCUCAAAGAGGCGAGCAGUUAAAGUAAGCCUAUGCUUUUUGCCUGUUUCUGACCUGUAGUCGCCAUUAAGUAAAAUUGUAAAUCUUGAGUAAAGACCAUUGUGGUUUUGAGGGCUGGGGUCCCAAGGUUGGGAUUCAUAAGUUGCACGAUUUGGGGACAUGUGACUCUACUUUCCUGCCUCCACUUCUUCACCCAUGUAAUGGGGA